AUUGCUUCUCUGCCUUUUGGCUAAGAUCAAGUGUGUUCUAUAUACAGUAGUCUGAAUAUUCAAACUUAAAAUUUAGCCAUUUAAUAUACGUAACCAAAAAAAUCUAUUAUUUUUUUCUUUCUAGGGCUGCACCUGUGGCAUAUGGAAGUUCACA
ensembl:snRNA U2 U2 spliceosomal RNA